AUAGUUUAGUGACCGAAUUAGGUGUUAGUCUCUUAAAUUAAUUAUGAGAAAUAUA
rnacentral:tRNA from 1 species